GGUCUGAGAAUUAUGGAGCUGCCUAAACCCAGCUUCACCUCUCUCUAGUUCGGGCCUGUUUGGCACAGGUCCAGCUCCACCCCUCCUGGAGCUCGAGCUCAGCCAAACAGUUUCAGCUCCACCAAAACUGGGAGUGGAGUUGGGUGGAGCUUCUCACAAAAUGUACUAGAGUUGUGGAUUUGGGUUUAGGCAGCUCCACAAGUCCACACCAGACUCAACU
rnacentral:misc_RNA from 1 species